GCCGGGCAUGGUGGCGCCUGCCUGUAAUCCCAGCUACUCAGGAGGCUGAGGCAGGAGGAUUGCUUGAACCUGGGAGGCGGAGGUUGCAGUGAGCUGAGAUCUUGCCACUGCACUCCAGCCUGGGUGACAGAGUGAGACUUUGUCUCAA
ensembl:misc_RNA Metazoa_SRP Metazoan signal recognition particle RNA